rnacentral:precursor_RNA from 15 species
ACUUAUCACAAUUUUUUUGAAAUGUCUGUCAGGUCUACCUCUGCUUAAGUUGAUAUUUAUUUAAUUAUCACUGGGCAAGGUAGACUCUACAGCCGUUUCUUCAAUCUUCAAUGAACAGC